rnacentral:tRNA from 1 species
AUGGAAUUUAACUCUUUCAUGCUUACUUUAACUAGUUAUUUUGGUUUUCUACUGGCUGCUUUAACUAUAACCCCAGCUCUAUUUAUUGGCUUGAACAAGAUACGCCUUAUUUGAAUUGACUGAAUAAUUAUAAUUCAGAAAAGAAAAAUCUUUCUUUGGGAUUCCUGGCAUUCUACGACUCUUUUCCAGACUAAUUAGGAAUUCUUUUCUUGGUCAUUGAGAUUCGUGGAUAAUUUAGAGUACUAUUUAGGGAUAGAUCGUACCUCUUUUUUUAUCCCCUCGAACAAAUCGAAAUGAUUGAAGUUUUUCUAUUUGGAAUCGUCUUAGGCCUAAUUCCUAUUACUUUAGCGGGAUUAUUCGUGACUGCGUAUUUGCAAUACAGGCGUGGGGAUCAGUUGGAUCUUUGAUUGAGUCAUUUUUUUUUGAUUGACCUCCUCCAGACCAGAGAGGAGGUCAAAUUGAAAUUGGAGUUACAAUUCAAUUUUGUUAAGUUAUUUUACUCUGCUUCGACAUAAGAUAGAUGGAAUCACGCUCUGUAGGAUUUGAACCUACGACAUCGGGUUUUGGAGACCCGCGUUCUACCGAACUGAACUAAGAGCGCUUUCAUUCAUUCAAAAAGAAAAUCUUUUUCUAUUCCUAAUGUAUCUCACGUACGUAUAGUCUCCACAAAUUCAAGUUAUACCCACUUUACUUUAAUUGAUCUCGUCGCUACUGCCUAUAAAGAAGAAAGAAGUAAUAGGUAGGGAUGACAGGAUUUGAACCUGUGACAUUUUGUACCCAAAACAAACGCGCUACCAAGCUGCGCUACAUCCCUUUUCCAAAUUAAAUUGUUGUACAAUGCCAUUGUACACAAUUCCUGUCUUCUUUUCCACAUCAUAAUUUUCUUGUUCUUUCUAUUUUCUUCUUCUUUCUUUCUAUAUCUAUAUAUAGAACCCUCGUGUCAUUUCUUCUUUUUGGUCUCAUAUAAUUAAGGAAUUAUAUACAUAUAAAAUCCAAUAUAAUUUCGCCUAUAAAAGAAGGAUUACUUUUCCUUGGUAAUAUAUAGGAAGAAGGGGUCAUCUUUUUCUUUUUUAGGGAUAGGAAAAUUUCGUCGAUAUGGUUCAUUUUAUAUAUAGCAUAACAAUCUUGGGCAAGAGUUUAUGAUCAUAUAUGUAUUCCAACAAGGAAGGAGGAUUUUCAAUGCGGGAUAUAAAAACAUAUCUCUCUGUAGCACCCGUGCUAAGUACUCUAUGGUUUGGUGCUUUAGCAGGUUUAUUGAUAGAAAUUAAUCGUUUAUUCCCAGAUGCUUUGUCAUUCCCUUUUUUUUAAUUCUAGUUAUUGCUAUGGGAGGGAUAGAUUUCUUCGUGAUAUGACAAAAUUUGAUCCUUUUCAAUCUUUUUUUAGUAUCGGAAGGAAAAAGAAAGAAAAGAUGGAUUGGGUUGAACCUCAGAGUCAUUAAAAAUUUGGUAAACCCCAUUUUUGAAAAUAGAAAUUCAAUUUAAAGGGGUACCCAAGCUAAAUAAGGCCUCAGAAAUCAG